rnacentral:tRNA from 1 species
AGGUAUAAUGGCCGAGUGUCAGGUGGCAGGCUGUASUCCUGUUUACAUGGGUUUAAGUCCCGUUUCUUCC